rnacentral:rRNA from 1 species
GAUGAACGCUGGCGGCGUGCCUAAUACAUGCAAGUCGAGCGAACAGACGAGGAGCUUGCUCCUCUGACGUUAGCGGCGGACGGGUGAGUAACACGUGGAUAACCUACCUAUAAGACUGGGAUAACUUCGGGAAACCGGAGCUAAUACCGGAUAAUAUAUUGAACCGCAUGGUUCAAUAGUGAAAGACGGUUUUGCUGUCACUUAUAGAUGGAUCCGCGCCGCAUUAGCUAGUUGGUAAGGUAACGGCUUACCAAGGCAACGAUGCGUAGCCGACCUGAGAGGGUGAUCGGCCACACUGAUACUGGCACACGCUCCAGACUCCUACGGGAGACAGGAGUAGAGAAUCUUCCGCAAUAGGCGAAAGCCUGACGGAGCAACGCCGCGUGAGUGAUGAAGGUCUUCGGAUCGUAAAACUCUGUUAUUAGGGAAGAACAAAUGUGUAAGUAACUAUGCACGUCUUGACGGUACCUAAUCAGAAAGCCACGGCUAACUACGUG